CUUAGGGUGUGGUCUUUCUUGGUAAAUGUCCCAUGUACAAUUGAAUACAUAUUCAACUAAUGUUGGGUAGAUUGUUCUAUGAAUGUAAAUUAGAGUCAAUUUAGUUGGUGGUAUUGUUGAGUUAUUUUAUAUCUCUGCUAAUUUUCUAUCAAUAACUGAGAGAUGAGUAUUGAAGUUUCUAAUGUUAUAAAUUUUUAAAUUUCUUCUUUCAGUUCGGACAGCUUUUAUCUGUUUUAAGCUCUGGUGUUAGGUGCACACAAUUUAGUAUUAUUGUGUCUUCCCAGAGAGUUGGCCCUUUCAUCUUAUGCUAUGUGCCUCUUUAUCUGUGGCAAUUAUUUUUUUUGCUCUGAAAUCUACUUUGUCUGAUAUUAAUAUAACCACUUCAUCUUUCUUCUGCUUACUGUUUGCAUGGUGUAUCUUUUCUAUUCUUUUACUUUUUACCUAUCUAUAUCAUUGUACUUGAAGUGAGAUUCUUGCAGACAACAUGGCCAUGAAAUGGGUCGUGUUUUUAACAUUCAUUUUGACAAUAUCUGUCCCUUAACUGGUAUGUGUAUGCUGUGUUUAUGUUUAGUAUAAUGAUUAGUGUGUUUGGUUUUAGGUCUAGCUUUUUGUGAUUCAUUUUCUGUUUGCUACUUCCAUUUUUUUAUUCCUAUUUUUCUGCCUUUUUGUGUGUGUGAGUUAUUUACAUUCUCUAGUAUGCUAUUUUAACUUACCUAUUGUAUUUUUUACUAUGUUGACAUAUUUUUUUAAAUUCAGGAGGAGAAUAGUCUAUUAUAUUUACCCAGAUAUUUACCAUUUCUAUUUUUCUUCCUUUAUUCCUGAUGUUUUGAAUUUUCUCUGUGUCAUUUCCCUCGCGUCUGAAGAACAUCCUUUAACAAUUCAUUUAGAGUAGGUCUGCUGGCAGCAAGUUCUUUGAAUUUUCCUUUAUCUGAAAAUGUCUUCAUUUUCCCUUCUUGAAGGAUUUUUUUCACUGAACACAGAAUUAUGACAGUUCUUUUCUUUCAGCAAUUCAAAACUGUUGUUCACUUCCCUUUCUUCUGGCCUCCGUAGUUCCUGAUAACAAAUUCUCAGUCAUUCUUAUCAUUGUUCCCCUAUAAAUAAUGUGUCGUUUUUUGGUUACUUUUAAGAUUUCCCAUUGUCUUUAAUUUUCAGAUAACCAAUUAUGCCAUGUCUGGGUGUAGAUUGGGUUCUCUUAUCUUCUUGAAUCUGUAGAUUUAUCUCUUUCUCCUAUAAGAAAAUGUUCAUAUUUUUGUAGGUCAUUGACCUGGUUGGUAUCCAGGCUCCAAGUUCCAACUCACCUUCCAUGGUCUAUAGUUCCAGUGUCAGAUCCAUUUUUGCAGGGCUACGCUGAUCUGUUCCAUGUGAACGCCACCCUGUGGCCUGUUUAGGGUGUGGGCAGUGUGGCCAGUUCUCAAAGUCCUUGGCAUGCUCUUUAGAGUCAGAGCUUUGCCUGCACAGAUCAAAGGUGAGUUCUGGAGUUCAUAAACCACUUUAUGGGUUCACCUUCUCAAGGUCUAGCCUCGUCAUAGUCUUCCCAUUACUUUCCAGUUUCCUGAGGUUCCUCUUUUUGAUCCUUUGUCCAAAAAACUGAGUCUUUACUUACCUCAUGCUGCACAAACUUCCUGCAACUGUAGCCACUCCUGGGCCAAAUAGCAGGAGGCCAGGAGCAAAAUAGAUUCCUUUUUGGUAAAUCCCCACUGGUUUGAUGGCGCAUCCAAGGCUGGUCUUCUUUCCCAGUCUGUCUGCUAUUACUGCUUUGAGUCCUCUGAUAGCUGCCUCGAGGCGGGGGAGGCCGGGGAACACUUCCUCCAUCUCACCGGGACCAACCGUGACAAGCAGUUUAGAAGCAGAAAGAGUACUAGUUUGAUGGUGAUAAGUAUGAUGGUGAGGUACAGAAAAGAAACAAAUGAUUCGACUUCAUUCUUUGUAAACAUUUUUCCACUCUCAUUUCUAAUGCUUGAAUGCAUUGUAAGUCAAUGAUUUAGUUAACUAUUAAGCAAGGGCUUUUCUAUGUUAAUAGAUAUAUACUUGCUCUUCCCAAACACUUUUUUGUUACAGCUAACUGUCCUUUAAAUAAUAUACAGUGGCUUAUGCUCAUUUUGGGUACCAUCAAUUUCACAUCAGAACUCUUACAUCCUAGGGCUCAGAUGCUGGGUCUGUCUUCCUAAUCUUUAUCUGAUCCCAAGGGCCAUUCUGUCGUACUCAUGAAACUAGAUAGAUCUGAAUUCAGAUUCUGACCCUGCCACUUCCAAACUCAUGACCUUGGUCAAGGUAUCUCACCUCCCAGAGAUUUGCAUAAGCUAGGUCAUUUUUACUUUGCAUUUCUUCCAAACCAGAAUCAUAGACUAGGAGGAAUUUAUAGGAGAAGGAGAAGCUUGUUCUGCUGCCUCAUGGAUCCAUCCUUCCACCUAUUCUAUCACGGCUUCCAUCCAUCCUUCCAUCCACCCAUCCAUCCAUCCAUCCCAUCUAUCUCUUCAUCCUUCCUAUACUGCAUGCUUAUCAUUUCUCAGGUACCAUGUUGGGAACAGGAUAAAUGGAAAUAAAUAAUAUUGAGCCCUUAAGAAAUGUUCUGUGCAAAAAAAAUCAUUGCAAAGAAACCUGUAACUUGUAUGUAAAAUGAGCUUAUAGAUGUGAAAACUGCAAGUAUGCGAUAGAUGGGAGUGGGGUUGAGGGUUGGAUUACAAAUGGGGAUCAUGAAUGCUGCCUACUUCAAAAUGUUGCCUUGAAGACCAAGUGAGAGAUGAGAUUAAAUGAGAAGUGUGCACAGGAAGAAGCAGACUCACGUCUUCUUUCAUCCAGGCCCUGAGCAGGGCCGGGGUGCAAGGUCAUAGGGCACAAUCCUGCCUGGGAAGUGUAUCGGCCAACGGGUCAUUUCCUCCCUCUUUCCACAACUUCCUGUCCCGUCUUUGAAUCAUUUCUAUUUGAAUGACAACCUUCCUAAACUUAAUUCCCACACUGCAAAAAAGCAUUUAGUCUUAUUAGAUCUGAGAAGAUGGCUCCACAAUAUUAAAAGAUGUCCCCUAGAGUCACUUUUAAGUAUCUGAGAUUUUGUCAAGAUCAUGCUCUUCAGAGUUCAUGACCUCUUCAACCUUGGUUAUUCCAGAUUUAAGAUGUUUUCACGCCCUGUUAGAAGCAGCUCCUCAUCCUUUUCCUCCUUUUAGUUGUAGUUGUCUGAUUCCACUGUCUCCCUGUUGGUUUCAUAAAAGGAAAUGACACACAUUGUGGAGGUAAUCAAUCAAACAUUUAUUAAACAUCCACUUAUUUCUCCAGGCACUCUCCUGAUCCCUUGGGAAGAGAUAAGGCGGUAAAACCCAUCUCCCCUUACAGGAUCAGAUCAUUUGGAAGCUAAGAUAUACACACAGGAAGUAUUUAAUAAUUAGGGUCCCCAGUGAUAACGAGUUUGCAGUCAGCUUCCAGAUCUCAAGCCCCCUCUUCUCCCACUUCCAAACCAUACCUGGGUCACACCAGUGCCUUCAGACUCUCUCUUAAGAUCAAGAGAGAAAUAUUUCACAAGCCUAUUGGUAACUUUUGGAAAAUGAACGUUCCUGUCUAUGCCCCGUUGAUCAUGCUGCUGCUUGUAAGAGCUUUCUCUCUCUGCCAACGGCGAGGCCUCUCCUGGCUCUGAAAUGAUACGAAAGCCCCUUGUUCUCUUUAAAGCCUCCACAUUAAUGGCCAGGUCACCCACCACCCAGGCAGCUCUUUUCAGAACAAUUUUUGAAAUAAUUCUGGUUCCAGGACCUUUUUCUCUUGGGUCCAUCACUGACUCUCUCCGCUUGUCCUUACACCUCUGCACACGUGGACACCUGGCCCCGCCAAGGUGGGAUGGAGACCAGAGGCCCGCAUCCCCCUUCCUCCCUGAGCACUGCUCUGGGACUCGGACGCGCUCACUCCAGCUCCCUCUCUUGACCAGCUCCUCUGGGUCAUCCAGCCUGGAGGUCACGGUUCCCUGGGUACUCAGGGCAUUUAACAUUUGUUGUAACUUAUCUAUAUAGAACUUAGUAUUUGUUCUACAAGGUAAACGUGAAGCCCUAGGCCAGGGAGACAACUUCCUGCAGAAGCUUCGUGCAUGAGUUUGCUCCAGGUGAGUGCUGGAGCAGCCCUGUCUCCCGUACACGCCGCGUCUGGGGUGCAGCCUGACCAGCAGGUGCCUGCGGGGGUGGGGGACACGGUCACCUCGACACAGCGCUCUCCUGGCGCUGGCUUGCUGCGUGCUACUCCCCCGCACCCACCUGCAGGAGGGCCCGGGCGCCCCUCCCUCCCCUGCGCGCCGCAGCUCCGGGAGAGGCGGAUUCUAGCGGCUCUGACUCAGCCGCAGCCUCUGCGUGGGGAGCGUUUCCUCUCAUUAACGCCCUAUUUGUACUUCCUGAGCUCGCGCGCGGACUGCGCUCCUCAGUCCCGGUUCCUCGCCCGAAAUAGCUGCGCACGUUCCCGCGGCUUUGCGUCCCGACUGCAGAGCAUCUGGCCUCAUUCUCCCACCGCCUGAGCAAGCGGGGAGCGGGCUGAGUCACGGUGACACUGAGUCAUUCAGCCACGAUCAGGAAGUGCCUUUUUUAGACUUCCAGUUGGAAGCAGAGCGCAGACAUUUGCAAGGAUUCGUGGGAAUGAGCCAAAGAGGAAGGAAGGCUGCGAUGAGCAAGGGGUCAAGGAGAAGUCAGCCGUGAGUGGAUUGGCACCUGAGCUAACACCUGCUGCCAAUCUUCUUCU